UGCUAUGGCAGCUGUGCGCGGGAUACCUUCGGGUAUGCCGGGUUCCUAGAGUCCCGGUCGGUCAACCCGCGUACAGUUGCCACCCUA
rfam:Pseudomonas fluorescens HK44 Contig8, whole genome shotgun sequence.